rnacentral:rRNA from 1 species
AACGGCCGUACCAUGCUGAAUAUACCGGUUCUCGUUAGAUCACCGAAGUCAAGCAUCAUUGGGCGCGGUCAGUACUUGGGUGGGUGACCCCCUGGGAACACCGCGUGCCGUU